UCGGUCUCUUCUUUCUUUAAGGAGUGGGCGGGGCUUGAAAGACCUGGAAGAUGGAGGAUUUAUAAACAGGAAACGACGGUUUUCGACCCUGCAGUCAGCCGUUUGGAUUUGCCGCAAUAGCACAUACAAAGGCGGGGUAUCCAGCAGCGAGCACCAUGAUCAUCGCGGCCUGUAUCCUUCUCGGCGUUCUGAACUGCUUCUGCCAAGCCCUGGCGCCUCCGCUCACAGUGGCCCUCGAGUCGAAUGAAAUCGACAACGUUUACCCCGACCAAGUGGUGCUUGUGCCUAAUAGGAGAGUCCUCGCUAAUCGCUUCCCCUUGAUCCAAAACUGGGCGUCUGAAAUCAACAACGAACCCGUUCCCGCAGAGGAGGUGCAACAGCCCGUCGUCGCUGGCAAUGAAAUCAGACGUGACAGCGGUACUUACAUCCUACGUUAUGGACGCUCAGUAGACGCCCAGACGUCCUGCAAGAAUUGUGGAGAAGGGGAUGAUCAGUGAACGUCAGCUCCCGCAGACUAUAGAACGCGCGCAAUCUUCUUCUUCUUCCCGUUUCCAGGCAAAAAGAUCCCAUUAUGUUUAUAGAAUUAAAACCUAAGGUAUUGAACGACUCCAUUUCAAGAAAUGGGGUUCUGUUUAGGAUGCUCUCCAGGUCUCUAGGAACCCGACUAUUAUGACGGCAGUCUGAUAGGCCUAAAAACUAAAGAGAGGCGGAAACUUUAUUAUUAUAUUAUUAUAUUCUUACUACAGCAGCCUGAGAUUACCGACAACAAGAUAUGGAUUAAGUUGAGGUUACUUGCCAAUAAAUAUUGCAUUCUGAAGCAUACAUAUAAGUGUAUCAGCGGGUGAAUGCAUGUGUCUAUGUAGUCUCAGUUAGAAAGACGUGAGGUUAAAAAUUAGACCAGAGUGGUGUCAAACCUUUAAACGUCUGUAACCUGUAAAGAGUAACUGUAAAACAACAUAAGAAAUAGCUUUGAAAUGGAGGAAUAAAUUCACUAGACUUGCCCAAGACUAUACCACCCGAGAGACUAGAAAAUGUAUUGGUAAUUCACUCAGGGGUUGACACCUCUCUGAGACUUUUGUAACCGAUUCAGAUCUGAGCACUGGUAUCUGCAUACAUGCGUACUACACACGUGCAUACACACGCAUAUAUAUACAUACAGUUUUUGUUUCAAGGUAUCGUCAGACUACUACAAAUUGGAAUGAAACACGUUCUCAGAAUCUCUUCACUUAAGAAGGGAACAAGUCCCA